ACGUUAGACACGAAUUUCUACGGC
rnacentral:miRNA from 1 species